AAGCCAGGCAAAUGGUGGAGAUAACGCGAAGUGUGGCCAAGUUUGUCACCGAAAUUUGUCAGAUUGCCCAGACGGGUGCGCCUGCUUUCUGCGAAACCACAAUGAAACAGGUACCUGCGUCGAAACGAAUGUCCCAGACUUAGAUGAAGGCAACUUGCCACCGCCACCAUUUUAAUACACUUACCAGAGUUGUGGCAAACAAACACAAUAAAGUUUUUUUUCCUCAA